rnacentral:misc_RNA from 1 species
AGCAGCCGCGGUAAUUCCAGCUCCAAUAGCGUAUAUUAAAGUUGCUGCAGUUAAAAAGCUCGUAGUUGAAUUUCGGGACUAAUAUGUCGGUCGUGCCUCGGUACGUACUGGCUUAUUGGUUUCUCCUUUCUGAAGAACCAUGAUGUCAUUUAUUUGGUGUCGUGGGGAAUCAGGACUGUUACUUUGAAAAAAUUUAGAGUGUUUAAAGCAGGCUCACGCUUGAAUACAUUAGCAUGGAAUAAUGAAAUAGGACGUUUGAUUCUAUUUUGUUGGUUUCUAGGAUCGACGUAAUGAUUAAUAGGGAUAGUUGGGGGCAUUAGUAUUCAAUUGUCAGAGGUGAAAUUCUUGGAUUUAUUGAAGACUAACUACUGCGAAAGCAUUUGCCAAGGAUGUUUUCAUUAAUCAAGAACGAAAGUUAGGGGAUCGAAGACGAUCAGAUACCGUCGUAGUCUUAACCAUAAACUAUGCCGACUAGGGAUCGGAUGAUGUUAAUUUUUUAAUGACUCAUUCGGCGCCUUAC